CCCUGACAUUAUGGGAACUGCUAGUGGCUGAGUUUAGAGUAACUUUGUAAUGCAUCAUAAAAUGUACUAGAAGCAUGUCUUAUCGAAGUCAUGGAAGCUGAACUACUUAAAAUAACCACGAUAAUUACUCCAUCAGUAGUGGUAUAUCGCAUUUCUAGCCCUUAGAAUUGAGUGUACGCUGCUAACUAACUGCGCUUGUUGUUAGAACAGAUGGUUUGAGAGGAAGUUCUGUGCGCAUGCGCAGUGCGCCUGCAUAGAGCUGAAGCGCAGACAGCACUAUGAGAGACGAGAGAGAGAAACACCCCUUAUCUGUAGAGAAAGGCUGAAAAAAGUUCACUCGUUUCGCACAAAAUUCCUUCUACGACUCACUCAGGUCACAUAGCGUACCGUGUUUCUAUGUCUGUGAUGCGGAGUGUCUGAGAGGGUUCAUUGAGUCUCUGCUGAGAGUGGCAUCCCACCGAACUGCCCUCAUCUGCCAAGCUCUCCACUCUAAAAGGCUUGCAAAACUGCCACAAGUGAGAUUCGGCAUUCUUACUGAGGUGAGUGUGUGCGCUUUUUUCAUGAGGUCAGUCAUGGUGUGUAGACGAGUUAAAUGAAGACUUGAUUGUAGAGAAUGGUGAAUAAUGACUUGUCAUGUACAGCCGGCACAUUGAU
ensembl:lncRNA